rnacentral:tRNA from 1 species
GUCCUUGUGGAUAGCUCAGUCGGUAGAGCAUAAGGCUCUUCAUCUCAAGGUCGUGGGUUUGAGCCCCACGCUGGGCA